rnacentral:lncRNA from 1 species
CAUAGACAAACGGGGACUCCAAGGACCAGGAAACCCAAGUCGGGACCCCAGGACGCGAUUCGGCUUCUAGCUUCGCCUCCAAUCAGGAUACUCCUGGUACUUGGGCAGACAAGAAAUGGAAAUCGCAGGCGCCUCUAAAUGGAAGCUUGCUAAGCCAAUAAAGGCACAUCGCAGGGAGGCCAGGGAUCCUGCGACAGAGGCGCGGCGGACACUGAAACAAAACUCGGUUCUUUGGCGGAGAAGGAGAGGAGGGCGUCGGGAAGACUGUGCUGGGAAAGAAAAAGCUCAGGCGCGGCUACAGCCGAAGGACUCGGGAACAGAGGCGCCGCGGCCCUGCCAGCCUGGCUGCCACUAAGGAACUCUGUUAUGGCAACCGCGGAAACUGCACGUUAGAACCCAUCAGAGCUGUGUAUUCGGCGGUGCCACCGAGAAGACGCGCGCACAGAACAACUAGCUGAGCCGAGACCAAGAGAAAGUGGGCGGGAGAGAAUGGUGUGCUGGGAUUCCGCAAAGGACCUCAACUAGCCUUAGUGCCAGGGACAAACUUCCACUUUGGCGCCAACCACGGUGCUGUUACCUAGCAUCAGGCUACGCAAAGAAAGGAGCCUUACUGCCACCCAGGCUUGGUGCAAAUAUGUGCUGUGACAGGAAAACUGUCGGGGGCACGCUGCUGGUCAGAGAGCUAAUGGGAACACCGGGAAAGGUAACCGGGAAAGGCUGCACCAACUGGCCUAGGAAGGAGAAAGGGAUAGCCCAGAGUUCUCUCUGUCCAACUAAUGGCAGUGCUAAGGAGAAAAAGCAGGCUCUUUCUCUUUAGGGUGCGGCGCAAGUGAGCUGCGAUUCCAAUUGCUGGCUUCACUGGACCCUGCCUGCAAAAGCCAAAACCAGCUUAUGGCUUUGCCGAGGCCAAAGGCAUCGCUUCUGGCUCCUUCAGCGGUGCAGCAAGUAAAUCUACACCAGCUGGUAGCAGCAAUGUUGGUGAGUCCAUGCGUCUAGUGAGAUUUCCAUUCCCACUGGCUGUCCCCAAACCCGCGCUUCCGAAAUAACAAAAACUUUCUUUUCUUGGGGAAGUCCGGGCCCCCAAUUACCAAAGUCUCCAGCAACUAACCCAGAGGGCUGCACGUGAUGAGAGCAGGCUGAGUCUCCCCCGAGGUGGGAACGGAUCAGGCUGAUCUAAGGGAAAAGUAAGGUAUCCUGGACACCAACAGCUCUGCUAGCAGGAAGCAGUGCUGGGCCCUUCUUGCAUGCCACCCCUCCGUCUUGGUCUGAGGCCCCUCUUCUUUUAUAGACACCUCAGCGCUUUUAAGGUGAGUCAGGGAAACCUUUUCUUUAAGCAAAUAUAUUUUUUUAAAGAGAGAAUUUUUUAAUAUUUAGUUUUUAGUUAUCAGCGGACACAACAUCUUUGUUUGUAUGUGGUGCUGAGGAUCCAACCCGGGCCACACACAUGCCAGGCGAGCGUGCUACCACUUGAGCCACAUCCCCAGCCCCCCCUUCCCCCCCAAAAGGAAACUCUGCCCUAAACCUUCAAACUAAGGCUCCAGAAUUACUUAGCUAGGGUUCUGUCAAAUUAACGUUUUAAAUGAGUCAUUGAUGGCUUCCCUGUCUUGAGAUGUUGCAAUGGUGCCAAAGUUUCAAGCACUUGAAUCCUCCCUUUCCACUCACUUUUCAAGUUAGACUGAUGCCUCUGAAUUGCUUUUUGCUAGAAAGUAUAGAGGCGUCACUGCACAGAAGAAAAUUGCUCUGUCCCACGACAUUUUAUGCUUCCCCCAAAGAUCUGCACUACUGGAAGGGAUGCCCCACAGAGACUGCAGACUCCACCAUGUGCAUCUCCAGCAGCCCUUAAGAUCUGCCACACUCCUCUGGUCCCAUCAAAUCAAUUCCAUCCUCUUCCUAAAUGAGCCUGGGAUGUUUGCAGGAGGCACAGGUGUCCCAGAGAGGUAAGGGGGCCCCUUUUGGACUCUUAUCUCACCUAUUCUCAAGCUGGCUACUACAGUCUUCCCCCACUAUCCUACCAUUUCCUCCCCUAGCCAAAACCCUCUCUGGUACUUGAAGCAUCUCCAAUCGCCUCCUUUGCUGUGGAUCUGGAGAAUGGAGGAAGAAGUGCCUUGUCCCCACAGGAAAAGGUACAGCCACCUUAUCAGGACCAAGAGGCCAGGGCAGAGAGCUGUUUAAAGCAAAACUGGGGGCCCAUCAGUCCUAUUACUCACUCACCCACCCCUUGCCUACUUCAUUCAUUCACACUUUGCACUACUGCAGAUUGAACCUAUGUAUUUGAGGCAUGCUGGGCAAGCACUAUGGCGCUGAGCUAAACCCCCAACACUUCCCCUCCACCCUAGCCUUGCAUCUUAGCAGAAAUAUUGGAAUUAGCACCCCUAGUGUUAAGGGUUACCAACUCCAGUUUAGGAAUCUAAAGAGGAGUUUGGUAGGAGUUACUCCCCUGAAGGAGUGAGUAUGCUCCAUCCAUCAAACUUGGAAGAGCUCCCUUGCUAUCAGGCAUGUCCAGAGCCCCCUAUUCCAUGGAGGCUGAGCCAAGCACACACGUGGUGGGCCCAUCACUGGAUGAGUUCACUGGAUGAAGUCAGCAGUAUUGCCAAUGCCCUCAAUUCUCUCUCUCUCUUUUUUUAAUGUUGUCAAUUGACACUCAACAAAUGAACAUAUUUAUGAACUACAAUGUGAUAUCUCUAUACAUACAUACCUUUUUUGAACCUGUGCCUGUCUCAUUCUUAAAAGCUUAUCUUUGAGAAGUUUUGUUCCAUGACCCAGGUGUGGAGAGUCCAUUCUCUCCACUGAACUCUACAACCUGCCACUAUUGGCUGUCUGGGCCACAGCUUACAAUCAUCUGCCUCUUCUGAUGUCCAUUGUUUCCUUCCUUCCUUCCUUCCUUCCUUCCUUCCUUCCUUCCUUCCUUCCUUCCUUCCUCUCUCUCCCUCCUUUCCUUCACUUUUUAUUUUUACUUUUUCCCUUUUAAUUUUUGUUAUGACUCUUUCCUCUUUAUUCCCUUAUUUCUCAUGAUUAUUCCUACCAUUUUCUCUUAACCCCACCACAGCUCAUAUAAAAGGCUGGUUCUGAUAGAGUCAUCAUGAACAUUAGGUUACUUUGCAUUUAACCAGCCACCAUGGGGUAUGAGAGUUGGCUGUGUCCUGCAUGUCUCUUGACUUUAACUUGAUUUUCUCUCACAAACAUAAGCUCUUCAAAAGCAGGAAGCAGCUCUUCAAGUCUCUAUAUGCGGCAUCCACCAUAGAAUUUCACUCAUGACAGGUUACCACUCAUGCUCCCUAAAUAUCUGAAUUAAACUGACUUGGUUCUAUUGAAGAUAAAUGUCUGGUCAAGGAAAGCUCUGCUUUCAUGCCCUCCCAUUUUUGUGACUAGAAUGUCUGAUAAACUGAAGGAAACAUCCACUAGAAAGUAACUGCUCCAAGCACAUGACAUGAGGAAAAGCAAUAAGUUCACAGCAGAAACACACAUUAGAAACCUUUAUAAUUUAUUAAUCAUUUAGGUUGUAUUUAUGAUUUCAUCAAUUAUGAUAAUACAAUAAUCAUAAUUUAACAACUUACUUUCUGCUUUCAGCUGUCUACUUAUCACUGAUGGAUGAAUUGUAUCAUGAUACUACCUAUGAAAGGUUUUGUUUUCAGUUCACAGAUGGAAACNUUACUUAGCUAGGGUUCUGUCAAAUUAACGUUUUAAAUGAGUCAUUGAUGGCUUCCCUGUCUUGAGAUGUUGCAAUGGUGCCAAAGUUUCAAGCACUUGAAUCCUCCCUUUCCACUCACUUUUCAAGUUAGACUGAUGCCUCUGAAUUGCUUUUUGCUAGAAAGUAUAGAGGCGUCACUGCACAGAAGAAAAUUGCUCUGUCCCACGACAUUUUAUGCUUCCCCCAAAGAUCUGCACUACUGGAAGGGAUGCCCCACAGAGACUGCAGACUCCACCAUGUGCAUCUCCAGCAGCCCUUAAGAUCUGCCACACUCCUCUGGUCCCAUCAAAUCAAUUCCAUCCUCUUCCUAAAUGAGCCUGGGAUGAUUGCAGGAGGCACAGGUGUCCCAGAGAGGUAAGGGGGCCCCUUUUGGACUCUUAUCUCACCUAUUCUCAAGCUGGCUACUACAGUCUUCCCCCACUAUCCUACCAUUUCCUCCCCUAGCCAAAACCCUCUCUGGUACUUGAAGCAUCUCCAAUCGCCUCCUUUGCUGUGGAUCUGGAGAAUGGAGGAAGAAGUGCCUUGUCCCCACAGGAAAAGGUACAGCCACCUUAUCAGGACCAAGAGGCCAGGGCAGAGAGCUGUUUAAAGCAAAACUGGGGGCCCAUCAGUCCUAUUACUCACUCACCCACCCCUUGCCUACUUCAUUCAUUCACACUUUGCACUACUGCAGAUUGAACCUAUGUAUUUGAGGCAUGCUGGGCAAGCACUAUGGCGCUGAGCUAAACCCCCAACACUUCCCCUCCACCCUAGCCUUGCAUCUUAGCAGAAAUAUUGGAAUUAGCACCCCUAGUGUUAAGGGUUACCAACUCCAGUUUAGGAAUCUAAAGAGGAGUUUGGUAGGAGUUACUCCCCUGAAGGAGUGAGUAUGCUCCAUCCAUCAAACUUGGAAGAGCUCCCUUGCUAUCAGGCAUGUCCAGAGCCCCCUAUUCCAUGGAGGCUGAGCCAAGCACACACGUGGUGGGCCCAUCACUGGAUGAGUUCACUGGAUGAAGUCAGCAGUAUUGCCAAUGCCCUCAAUUCUCUCUCUCUCUUUUUUUAAUGUUGUCAAUUGACACUCAACAAAUGAACAUAUUUAUGAACUACAAUGUGAUAUCUCUAUACAUACAUACCUUUUUUGAACCUGUGCCUGUCUCAUUCUUAAAAGCUUAUCUUUGAGAAGUUUUGUUCCAUGACCCAGGUGUGGAGAGUCCAUUCUCUCCACUGAACUCUACAACCUGCCACUAUUGGCUGUCUGGGCCACAGCUUACAAUCAUCUGCCUCUUCUGAUGUCCAUUGUUUCCUUCCUUCCUUCCUUCCAUUCUCUCUCUCCCUCCUUUCCUUCACUUUUUAUUUUUACUUUUUCCCUUUUAAUUUUUGUUAUGACUCUUUCCUCUUUAUUCCCUUAUUUCUCAUGAUUAUUCCUACCAUUUUCUCUUAACCCCACCACAGCUCAUAUAAAAGGCUGGUUCUGAUAGAGUCAUCAUGAACAUUAGGUUACUUUGCAUUUAACCAGCCACCAUGGGGUAUGAGAGUUGGCUGUGUCCUGCAUGUCUCUUGACUUUAACUUGAUUUUCUCUCACAAACAUAAGCUCUUCAAAAGCAGGAAGCAGCUCUUCAAGUCUCUAUAUGCGGCAUCCACCAUAGAAUUUCACUCAUGACAGGUUACCACUCAUGCUCCCUAAAUAUCUGAAUUAAACUGACUUGGUUCUAUUGAAGAUAAAUGUCUGGUCAAGGAAAGCUCUGCUUUCAUGCCCUCCCAUUUUUGUGACUAGAAUGUCUGAUAAACUGAAGGAAACAUCCACUAGAAAGUAACUGCUCCAAGCACAUGACAUGAGGAAAAGCAAUAAGUUCACAGCAGAAACACACAUUAGAAACCUUUAUAAUUUAUUAAUCAUUUAGGUUGUAUUUAUGAUUUCAUCAAUUAUGAUAAUACAAUAAUCAUAAUUUAACAACUUAUUUUCUGCUUUCAGCUGUCUACUUAUCACUGAUGGAUGAAUUGUAUCAUGAUACUACCUAUGAAAGGUUUUGUUUUCAGUUCACAGAUGGAAACAUGAAGACUAUAGAUAGUAAAUCACCUGCUGAGUGUCAUAUCUAGAAAGUUGUAGGAAUGGAACUUAAACUUGUGAAAUUUAGGACCUUUGCAUUGGUCGUCCCUAUCAGAGGUAUUCACCACAAUUUUAGAAAGUUCUUUAAUGUAGUUAUUCAUUAAAAACAUAAAAAUAAAAACAAAAUAAAAUUUGGAGUCAACAAUUACAAUUACAAUUUGUAAUUCAACAAUUACACAUGAACCCACCACAUCUGAAUACUCCUUCAACUCUCUCUGCGAACCUCUCUCUCUCCUCAGAGACCAGGGUAUUCACAAGCACGGAGCAGGAAUGUAUUUCACAGAUGGCCAACAUCUCAGACUCAAGCAGAAUUGUCCUGAGAAUCAAAGGAGGGAAACCUACAGAAGUUAUGAAGUAUUUAUUAGUCAUUUUUGGAUGGUGGUAGGGAGUUCUGAAGAUUUGCUUACCCACCAAAAUACAUCCGCAGGCCUUCUUAUAUUAUAUUUUGAGACAUGGUCUCACUAAGUACUUUAGGGCCUCCUUAAUUUGCUUGAGGCUGGCUUUGAACUUAAGAUCAUCCUACUUCAGCCUCCUGAGUCCUAGAGUAACAGUCAAGCAAAACCACACCCAGCCUGGGAGCAAUGUUCUAAACUGCUCCUCCAGUCGAAUCCCCUUUAUGUAUAGUUUGCCACAUGAAUUUCCUUGGUUACUCUUUUGGCUGUGUUCAUGGUAACUCAACCCUUGGCCUCCAGAAAAUCCCUUCCCCUGUACUAUCCAUCUCUAACUUCUUCUUAUCUUCUCUCUCCUUUUGUGUGUGUUUGUUUGUGAAGGGACCCUGGAUAUUAAUUAAUUACUUUAUUUAUUUAUUUACUGUACCAUGGUUAUUUUGAAUUACCAAAUUGAUUAGAUUAAGAGAUGCAGAGGAUUAAGAGGCUUAUGGGUGUGUCAAUGAGGAUGUGUCUAGACAGGAUUGGCAUGUGGGAUAGCCAAGAGAAACGGAGACCUCAUUAAGCAUGGUCAGUACCAUCCAAUAAGAUGAUGGCUUGGAUAGAAUGAAAAUUGGAAGAACAAGGAAAGCAGCAGCAGAUGCAAGCUGAUUCCUCUUGAACAGUUCCUGAUUGCUGCUGUGAUUGAAUGUCAGACUCUUGCUUCUUCCAAAGCAGGCUCUGCCAGUGAUUCUCCAGAAGCCUUUGGUCUACUACGAGGGGAGCACCCUGAUUUCUCUUGUUCUGGGGAUUCAGCCUCUUGGACUGUGCAGAUACUUUGUUUUUCCAGUUCUCCAGCCUACAGACUGCCAUUGUGGAUGAUCCAGCUUCUGGUGCGUAAGUCAGCCUAAUAAGUUCCCUUCUUAUAACCAUACUUCCUGUUGAUUCUAUUCCUCUCCAGAACCAUAAUGCACAGGGAUUGAGCCCAAACUGCUUAAUCACUGAGCCACAUUCUCAGAAUUUUUUUUCCAGACAAUGUCUCCUAAAUUCUUAGGGUCUAGCUAAAUUGCUGAGGCUGGCUUGAACUUGCAAUCUUCCAGCCUCAGCGUCCUCCAAGGCUAACUAUCUCUCUCUCUCUCUCUCUCUCUCCCUCUCUCUCCCUCUCCCUCUCCCUCUCCCUCUCCCCCUGUCCCUCUCUUUCUCCCUCUUCUCUCCUUGGAGACCAGGUAGUAAGGUGUAGGCCAUGACAACCAGUGAUGGGUAUCCUGGGAUUUUUCAAAAUUGUUUUAAACCUGUCUAUCAACCAAAUCAAUUCAAUCAAACACUGACAUCCAAGAUGAUUGAAUUUUGCCUUCAGCAGGAAUGUACUCAUGAGAUCCUAUCUCCACUAACUUCUACACCGUGUGCUUCAGGUCAAGAGUAGCCCAGAAGAGUAGAAAUCAUCAGGCAAGGGGACUCUGAAGACUUUUCAUCCUCUGAGAGUCUGCAGCUAUGGAGAAGCAUUUCCCCAGCUGUGUGAAGGAGGCCUGGGAUUGUGGCUCCAGGGCCACAGGCACUGCUGGCCCUCAUGGAAUCAGAUCCUAGGCCCUGGCCUCUGUCUUUUUAUCCUAGGCUGAGCUUCCUUUCUUGGAAUCACCAGGACUUUAACCGUGAAACACUUUUAAAACCCUGUGGGUUUCUUGGCUCUGACUGCCCCCUCCAUGAAUCCGGAUUGCACAGCACUUUGAGAAGAGGCACAGAGCUGCCUGCCUGCCCAGGCCCAAAGCCUCUGACCCAGCAAGAGCCGCAUACCCCACUAGGAGAAUUGGAUGCCUCUAAGAAACUAGGCAGACCAGUGCCCAUGCUCUUUCCAGCAUUGUGCUGUGCGGAUGUCAAGAGCCACUGCCUGAGGUUUCCACUCCCAUGCAGAGACUUUAGAUUUUAAGGCUCUGGACUCCUGGCUGCCUGCCUUUGGCUUGAGAGCAUUGGCAUCUCUGCGAACAUGCUGCAAUGGAUGAUCAUCUGAGAAGAAACAGUGUUAAAAUAAACAAUUCUCAGAUUAGCAACCAAGUGAGAAGUUUACGCCUUCUUGAAUUUUCAUAAAAUUUUCUGU